rnacentral:rRNA from 1 species
UAUUCCCUCUGGCGGCAGGCCUAAUACAUGCAAGCCGAGCGACCAGACGAGGAGCUUUCUCCUAUCAAGAUAGCGGCGGACGGGCGAGUAACACAUGGAUAACCUACCUAUCAGACUGGGAUCACCUCGGGAAACCAGUGCUACUACCGGAUCAUAUAUUGAACGGAUUGGUUCAUGAGUGAAAGGCAGUUUGGCUGUCACUUAUAGACGGAUCAGCGCCGCAUUAGCUAGUUGGUAAGGUAACGGCUAACCAAGGCAACGGUGCUCAGCAGACAUGAUCGUGUGAUCAGCGACACUGGAACUGGGACUCGGUCCAGACUCCUACGGGUGGCAGCAGUAGGAAAUCUUCCGCAAUGGGCGAAAGCCUGACGGUGCAACACCGCGUGAGUGAUGAGGGACUUCGGAUCGUAAAACUCUGUUAUUAGGGAAGAACAAAUGUAAAAGUAACUAUGCACGUCUUGACGGUACCUAAGCAAUAAGCCACGGCUAACUACGUG